rnacentral:rRNA from 1 species
AGUGAACGCUGGCGGUAGGCCUAACACAUGCAAGUCGAACGGCAGCACAGUAAGAGCUUGCUCUUACGGGUGGCGAGUGGCGGACGGGUGAGGAAUACAUCGGAAUCUACUUUUUCGUGGGGGAUAACGUAGGGAAACUUACGCUAAUACCGCAUACGACCUACGGGUGAAAGCAGGGGAUCUUCGGACCUUGCGCGAUUGAAUGAGCCGAUGUCGGAUUAGCUAGUUGGCGGGGUAAAGGCCCACCAAGGCGACGAUCCGUAGCUGGUCUGAGAGGAUGAUCAGCCACACUGGAACUGAGACACGGUCCAGACUCCUAAGGGAGGCAGCAGUGGGGAAUAUUGGACAAGGGGCGCAAGCCUGAUCCAGCCAUACCGCGUGGGUGAAGAAGGCCUUCGGGUUGUAAAGCACUUUUGUUGGGAAAGAAAAGCAGCAGGUUAAUACCCCGCUGUUCUGACGGUACCCAAAGAAUAAGCACCGGCUAACUUCGUG